rnacentral:rRNA from 1 species
GAUGAACGCUGGCGGCGUGCCUAAUACAUGCAAGUCGAGCGAACAGACGAGGAGCUUGCUCCUCUGACGUUAGCGGCGGACGGGUGAGUAACACGUGGAUAACCUACCUAUAAGACUGGGAUAACUUCGGGAAACCGGAGCUAAUACCGGAUAAUAUAUUGAACCGCAUGGUUCAAUAGUGAAAGACGGUUUUGCUGUCACUUAUAGCUGGAUCCGCGCCGCAUUAGCUAGUUGGUAAGGUAACGGCUUAGCAAGGCAACGAUGCGUAGCCGACCUGAGAGGGUGAUCGGCCACACGGGAACUGAGACACGGUCCAGACUCCUACGGGAGGCAGCAGUAGGGAAUCUUCCGCAAUGGGCGAAAGCUUGACGGAGCAACGCCGCGUGAGUGAUGAAGGUCUUCGGAUCGUAAAACUCUGUUAUUAGGGAAGAACAAAUGUGUAAGUAACUAUGCACGUCUUGACGGUACCUAAUCAGAAAGCCACGGCUAACUACGUG